rnacentral:rRNA from 1 species
AAGUGUAACUUAAGCAAAGAGACCUAUAGUUUAAUGCCCCGAAACUACGUGAGCUACUCCAAGACAGCCUAUUAAUAGGGCACACCCGUCUCUGUUGCAAAAGAGUGGGGAGAGCUUUGAGUAGAGGUGACAGACCUACCGAACCUAGUUAUAGCUGGUUGUCCAAGAAAUGAAUAGAAGUUCAGCCUCCCGGCUUCUCUUUUCACAUUAGUUUAACACCUAUUGAUGUAUUUAAGAAACCAUGAGAGUUAGUCAAAGGGGGUACAGCCCCUUUGAACAAAGACACAACUUUAUCAGGAGGGUAAAGAUCAUAAUAAAACAAAGGGAAGUACUCUGGUGG